rnacentral:rRNA from 1 species
CUUGGUCAUUUAGAGGAAGUAAAAGUCGUAACAAGGUUUCCGUAGGUGAACCUGCGGAAGGAUCAUUAAUGUAACCGGACCGGUCCUCUGCCGUAAAACGCAGCGGAUGGGAAUGGGAGAUAUCAUACACCCUAUGUUUAUUUACUUUUGUUGCUUUGGCGGGCCGUCCUUUUAGGCGUCGGCCCCGGCUGAUCGCGCCCGCCAGAGGACCCAAACUCUUUUAUCAGUGAUGUCUGAGUACUAUAAUAAUAGUUAAAACUUUCAACAACGGAUCUCUUGGUUCUGGCAUCGAUGAAGAACGCAGCGAAAUGCGAUAAGUAAUGUGAAUUGCAGAAUUCAGUGAAUCAUCGAAUCUUUGAACGCACAUUGCGCCCGCUGGUAUUCCGGCGGGCAUGCCUGUUCGAGCGUCAUUAUGACCAAUCAAGCUCUGCUUGGCCUUGGGGCCCGCUGUACCGGCGGCCCUUAAAAUCAGUGGCGGUGCCGUCUGGCUCUAAGCGUAGUAAUACUUCUCGCUACAGGGUCCAGCCGUCCACCCGCCAGAACCCCCAACUUUCUUAGGUUGACCUCGGAUCAGGUAGGGAUACCCGCUGAACUUAAGCAUAUCAAUAAGCGGAGGA